CCAAAUGGGUAUAGGAAAGAGAUG
rnacentral:piRNA from 1 species